UGGGGAAUAUUGCACAAUGGGGGAAACCCUGAUGCAGCGACGCCGCGUGAACGAAGAAGGUAUUCGUAUCGUAAAGUUCUGUCCUAUGGGAAGAUAAUGACAGUACCAUAGAAGAAAGCUCCGGCUAAAUACGUGCCAGCAGCCGCGGUAAUACGUAUGGAGCGAGCGUUUUCCGGAAUUAUUGGGCGUAAAGGGUACGCAGGCGGUUUAAUAAGUCGAAUGUUAAAGAUCGGGGCUCAACCCCGUAAAGCAUUGGAAACUGAUAAAAUUGAGUAGUGGAGAGGAAAGUGGAAUUCCUAGUGUAGUGGUGAAAUACGUAGAUAUUAGGAGGAAUACCAGUUGCGAAGGCGACUUUCUGGACACAAACUGACGCUGAGGUACGAAAGCGUGGGGAGCAAACAGG
rnacentral:rRNA from 1 species